CGCUCCCUUGAAAAAGCUACAAAUAAUGCGAACAUAUUAGGAGUCCUGCCUGCCCGGUGACUUAGUUAAACGGCCGCGGUAUCUUGACCGUGCAAAGGUAGCAUAAUCAUUUGCCUCUUAAAUGGGGGCUGGUAUGAAUGGCAAGACGGAAAUUAAGCUGUCUCUUCCUUGGUUUCCCUAAUUUAAUUUUUCCGUGAAGAAGCGGAAAUUUAGUCGUGGGACGAGAAGACCCUGUCGAGCUUUAGUGGUUAUUUUCUAGGCAGAGUAAAGGCCGUUUGCUGCUAAUUAACUUAUAAAAGGAAUUUGUUUUACGAGGCGAAGGACCUUGUCUUGGGAAGUACGCUUUGGUUGGGGCAACCGCGGAGUAUAGAAAUCCUCCGUUAAGUUAACUAAAUGAAGUUAUAUCUUUUUUGUGGGCUUACUAUUGGAUUGAUCCGCCUGUAUGAGGGCGAGCAAAUGAACAAGUUACCGCAGGGAUAACAGCGUAAUUCCCUUGGAGAGUUCGUAUUGGUAAGGGAGUUUGCGACCUCGAUGUUGGAUCGGGAUUUCCUGGGGGUGAAGCAGCUCCUAAGGGUUGGUCUGUUCGACCAUUAAAAUCCU
rnacentral:rRNA from 1 species